AAGGCCCAAACACCUUUAAAACCAGAAAAUAUAAAACUCAUUUGGAGCCACUUUCCAUACACAUUUGUGCAGAACACAUUUGUGUCGUAUAAUCUUUUGUCUUACAGUGAACUAGUCGAUAAUUAUUAGACGAACAGUGGCGUUCAUUUUCAUCUUUUACUAUAAAAAAUCUCUUUUUCUCGUCGUACUUAAGUGCCCCUCAGAUCCGAAUGCGAUUUCACCUGAGGGAGACUACAAGUGCCAGACCCCCGCGAUUUCGCCUUUGCCUAAGUGAGAAGCCGAGAAGCUUGCAGGGAACACAUUCACCUCAGGCCUGCCAUCUUUAAGUCACAGAUGACAGCUCACUCCAUUCACAGGCUUGUGGACUUAACUGGUUCUUCUAACUCUUACUGUCAGAUGAAUGAUGACAGUUCCUUUACCCCUGCAACUGAACAAUGACAUUGAAAUUCACUGGUCUGGAAAUAUCAAGUUCACUGAAAAAGUACAUCAAAUAUCACACUCACUGCUACUGAGCAGAUGGCGGACACGGUAAGUGAGUUUUAUC